rnacentral:rRNA from 1 species
CAGCAGUGGGGAAUAUUGGGCAAUGGGGGAAACCCUGACCCAGCGACGCCGCGUGAGGGAAGAAGGUUUUCGGAUUGUAAACCUCUGUCCUUGGUGACGAUAAUGACGGUAGCCAAGGAGGAAGCCACGGCUAACUACGUGCCAGCAGCCGCGGUAAUACGUAGGUGGCGAGCGUUGUCCGGAAUUACUGGGUGUAAAGGGAGCGUAGGCGGGAGAGCAAGUCGACUGUGAAAUCUAUGGGCUUAACCCAUAGCUGCGAUCGAAACUGUUCAUCUUGAGUGAAGUAGAGGCAGGCGGAAUUCCUAGUGUAGCGGUGAAAUGCGUAAAUAUUAGGAGGAACACCAGUGGCGAAGGCGGCCUGCUGGGCUUUAACUGACGCUGAGGCUCGAAAGCGUGGGUAGCAAACAGGAUUAGA